ensembl:lncRNA
UUAUGACUCAAAUAAGUGUUUUUUAAAGGUCUUUUUUAAUAUCUCUCCUAGCUGUGCAGUUGAGGAACUAGAGCAGGCACACUGGGGGGUGAUUCUGUUUGGAACACAACCCUACAUCUCCUCUCCUAGCUGUGAGGAACUAGAGCAGGCACACUGGGGGGUGAUUCUGUUUGGAACACAACCCUGCAUCUCCUCUCCUAGCUGUGAGGAACUAGAGCAGGCAUACUGGGGGGUGAUUCUGUUUGGGACACAACCCUGCAUCUCCUCUCCUAGCUGUGUAGUUGAGGAACUAGAGCAGGCACACUGGGGGGUGAUUCUGUUUGGAACACAUCCCUACAUCUCCUCUCCUAGCUGUGUAGUUGAGGAACUAGAGCAGGCACACUGGGGGGUGAUUCUGUUUGGAACACAUCCCUACAUCUCCUCUCCUAGCUGUGUAGUUGAGGAACUAGAGCAGGCACACUGGGGGGUGAUUCUGUUUGGAACACAACCCUACAUCUCCUCUCCUAGCUGUGAGGAACUAGAGCAGG